rnacentral:rRNA from 1 species
GACGAACGCUGGCGGCGUGCUUGACACAUGCAAGUCGAACGGAAAGGCCUGCUUUCCCUUGUGGCUUGCGGGUACUCGAGUGGCGAACGGGUGAGUAACACGUGAGUGAUCUGCCCCCAACUUGGGUAUAAGCCUGGGAAACUGGGUCUAAUUCCCGAUAGGACUGCAGGGUGGUGCCUGUGGUGGAAAACGAUCUUCUAGUGGUUGGGGAUGAGCUCGCGGCCUAUCAGCUUGUUGGUGGGGUAAUGGCCUACCAAGGCGGCGACGGGUAGCCGGCCUGAGGGGGGGGACGGCGACAUUGAGACGGGGAUACGGCCCGGACAACUACGGGAGGCAGGAGGGGGGAAUAUUGCACAAUGGGCGGAAUCCUGAUGCAGCGACGCCGCGGGGGGGAUGACGGCCUUCGGGUUGUAAACUCCUUGCGACCGCGAGGAAGCCACCUGGUUGGAAGGGUGGUGACGGUAGUGGUAGAAGAAGCACCGGCUAACUACGUG